rnacentral:rRNA from 1 species
AUACGUAGGUGACAAGCGUUAUCCGGAUUUACUGGGCGUAAAGGGCGUGUAGCCGGGUUGGCAAGUCAGAUGUGACAUCUAUGGGCUUAACUCAUAAACUACAUUUGAAACUGCUGAUCUUGCGUAUCGGAGAGGCAAUCGGAAUUCCUAGUGUAGCGGUGAAGUGCGUAGAUAUUAGGAGGAACACCAGUGGCGAAGGCGGAUUGCGGGACGACAACGGACGCUGAGGCGCGAAAGCGUGGGGAGCAAACAGGAUUAGAUACCCGGGUAGUCCACGCCGUAAACGAUGAAUACUAGGUGUAGGGGGUAUCGACUCCCUCUGUGCCGCAGUUAACACAAUAAGUAUUCCGCCUGGGGAGUACGGCCGCAAGGUUGAAACUCAAAUGAAUUGACGGGG